CACGCUGGCGGCAGGCUUACACAUGCAAGUCGAGCGGGCGUAGCAAUACGUCAGCGGCAGACGGGUGAGUAACGCGUGGGAACGUACCUUUUGGUUCGGAACAACACAGGGAAACUUGUGCUAAUACCGGAUAAGCCCUUACGGGGAAAGAUUUAUCGCCGAAAGAUCGGCCCGCGUCUGAUUAGCUAGUUGGUGAGGUAACGGCUCACCAAGGCGACGAUCAGUAGCUGGUCUGAGAGGAUGAUCAGCCACAUUGGGACUGAGACACGGCCCAAACUCCUACGGGAGGCAGCAGUGGGGAAUAUUGGACAAUGGGCGCAAGCCUGAUCCAGCCAUGCCGCGUGAGUGAUGAAGGCCCUAGGGUUGUAAAGCUCUUUUGUGCGGGAAGAUAAUGACGGUACCGCAAGAAUAAGCCCCGGCUAACUUCGUGCCAGCAGCCGCGGUAAUACGAAGGGGGCUAGCGUUGCUCGGAAUCACUGGGCGUAAAGGGUGCGUAGGCGGGUCUUUAAGUCAGGGGUGAAAUCCUGGAGCUCAACUCCAGAACUGCCUUUGAUACUGAAGAUCUUUG
rnacentral:rRNA from 1 species